rnacentral:rRNA from 1 species
UACAGAGGUCCCGAGCGUUGCUCGGAUUCAUUGGGCGUAAAGGGUGCGUAGGUGGCGCUGUAAGUGGGGUGUGAAAUCCCGGGGCUUAACUCCGGAACUGCAUUCCAUACUGCGGUGCUUGAGGACUGGAGAGGAGACUGGAAUUUACGGUGUAGCAGUGAAAUGCGUAGAGAUCGUAAGGAAGACCAGUGGCGAAGGCGGGUCUCUGGACAGUUCCUGACACUGAGGCACGAAGGCCAGGGGAGCAAACGGG